rnacentral:rRNA from 1 species
UACGGAGGGGGCAAGCGUUGUUCGGAAUUACUGGGCGUAAAGGGCGCGUAGGCGGCCUGUUAAGUCGAACGUGAAAUCCCCGGGCUCAACCCGGGAACUGCGUCCGAUACUGGCAGGCUUGAAUCCGGGAGAGGGAUGUGGAAUUCCAGGUGUAGCGGUGAAAUGCGUAGAUAUCUGGAGGAACACCGGUGGCGAAGGCGGGUCUCUGGGCCGAUACUGACGCUGAGGAGCGAAAGCGUGGGGAGCGAACAGGAUUAGAAACCCU